CAUUGGUCCCAAUGCUGCCCCAACCCUCAGCUGCCAACAAGGCCAUGCCCUGUCUGCUAGCAGCCUGCCCAGUGGAAGCUGGAAUGCCGCCAUGUGGGUUUGUCCUCCAUGCCACACCAUGGAGGUCCAGCCCUGCCAGCACAGGCAUCUGAGACUCUUCCAGCCUUUGAGCUCCGCAGCCUGGCAGAGAACUGAUGGUAUCCAGACUUGGAGACUCCCAUCACCCUCGCCAGGCCUAGGGUAAUGCUCCAGGUAGUGGCUUUCGGUUUCCUAGGUGGCUGGAGCAGUUCCUUGUUGAAAAGGCAGAAGGCAGCAGAGUCCCGCCGCUGUCUUAACAGGCCAUGCUGAAAUGCCCGAGUAACCAGCUCUGGUGUGCCUUCCUUUCGUUCUUUCUCUUUUCCUUAUAAUUUUUAUUGUAAACAAACCACAAGUGUGGGGAUUGAAAUAAGGAGUGCCUAGUGACCGAGACACGGCGCUUAUUCCCAUGGAUGCUAGUGGGUGGCCUGGCAGAGAUCUGAGCAGAGCUGGAGGCAGUUGUGUCCCCAGUCACCUGAUGACCCUGAUAAAUCCGCACUGCGAGCCCCUAGCAGGGGAAUUUUCCUGGUGUAAAAAAACAUUGAGUAUGAGUCUUUUCUCUCAGACACUAUAAAACUUGUGUUUGCAACAAAGAAUUCAAAGCUUUUUGCCUCCUCCACUUUGUAUGCAAAUAUUUUAACACCCUCCACCCAGGAAAGUGUUUAUGCAAAGGCCCUGCUACAUUUGGGAGCAUAGGUAAAUUAAGCGGCUGACCCCAUUCUGUUUUCCUUUCUUCCCUUCACCCAGGUGUUUUUGACACCGGCUCAUCUUUAAACUGUGAUGUGAGACCCCAGCCAAUGGGGGAAGACACGGUCUCCACCCGAGUUAGAUGCAAAACCAACUUGCUUCCUGCCCGGGUGUGUUUAGUCCCUGAGAAUACCCUCUUGACCAGGAGUAACUAACGGUUGCCUUGUCCAGACACUAAAAUGAAGCUCCCUAGACCAUUGACCAGACUGUGCCAGGAAUCCUGCCAUCGCCUACCUCCAAACCCUCCCACCAGUACCAGCCAUGAGAUUUGAUUUGGAUAAAGAGGAUCCCUGCCUGUACCCUGGAACCUGUCUGGAAGGGACCCCACCCACUUAUUCUCACCACCCCGACGGCUGUGAAAUGGUUGUUGUCGUCCCCUGGAUUCAUCAUCCCCAAUUUGAAAAAAAAAAAAAGCCACUGAAGACAAUGAGAGAUGGACCGUCAAACUUGGACACAUUAAAGAUAAGACUGACCAGAGUUCACUAACCUGGGCUACACAAAUCCUCAUCCACCACAAAUCUGGACAUGGGCACUCAGAAAAGCUGGGUAUGGGAAACUUUCAGGUGGAACUCUGCUCUCUUAUGUCCCUUUCCAGGGGGAAAUGGUGAGGCUCUGGGGAAGGGAUAGGGGUUACCAAAUCACAUUGUGGAGAAGACUGGCUAGAAAAAGACCUCCAGGGACUACAAUUUUAUGUAUGCCCUGAUGAGGGUGAAUCAUCCUGCCAAGGACAAGGUAUCUACAUCAUGUCCUCAAAUUACAGUCUUGCUUCCUCACCUUAUAAGGUUUGCUCAAAUGCCCAAGGAAUCAACACGAGCCUAGAGAAUUACAGAUUCUUUCAUGGCCCUGAAUCUACCUUGUUUGCUUGUACUAACGAUUUGACUAAAUGUGCCUCCUCUGACUCACUGGAGAGUCAUAGCCCCAUUCUGUGUAUACCGGUCUAUGUUAUCCCCCAGAUAUAUGCCAGUAAUGGAGAAGAGGGAAGAGCUCAUGCUGGCCUUGACUCAAUGUUCAUGAGGGUCAAAGAGGUCCCAGUUCUGGUCCCAAUCCUAGUAGGGGCAGGAAUAGCUGGUGCAAGUGUCAUAGGCACCUCAGCCUUGAUUGUUGGGAAUCAACACAUUAGGGAACUCAGUUCUCAGACAGAGACAUAGGCCAUUUGGAGAAGUCCAUUUCCAGGCUGGAGAGCCAAGUUGAAUGGACUCCCUUACAGACACAGUCUUACAGAACUGGAGCUGGACCCCAUUUUAUGAAAUGAGGACUUUGCAUGGCCUUAGGAGAAACCCAUUGUUUUUGUGCCAAUCAGGGGUGAUCAGGGAAGACCUUCCCAUGGUCAGAGAAAACCUCAAAAAAGGGAAGGAAGGAGACAAAGAUCAGAUAGUUGGUAUCCGAAUCUGUUUACCUGGUCCCCAUGACUGACCACAUAACUGUCAACAUUAGUUGCAUAGUUGAUUCUUUUUUUCCUGAUCCAGCUUACAGUAGGACCCUGCAUCCUCAACUGCAUGGAUAACUACAUCAAAUAGAGAAUAAAUUCAGUUAAGCUAUGUGUCCUUAGGACCAACUAUGCUCUUCCCCCAGAAGAGGAUGAGUCAAUGAUUUGACUCAUGCCCAUAAAACCAGUGGGGAAUGUGACAGGGCGAUCAGUACCGGGGUUCCUCCCUCUCAUAUUCUUGCUGAGGCCGUUUCAGGUUUAACUAGAAUUUGAUCUCCUUGAUGGGAAGCCCCAUGGAAAGUUACCCAACUCUGUUCUAGGAACCCAAAGUCAAGAUGUCCCAGCUAGCUUGUCUUAGUUUCUGUUAAACUGUCUGCUUGUGAAAACCUC